rnacentral:rRNA from 1 species
UACGAAGGGUGCAAGCGUUACUCGGAAUUACUGGGCGUAAAGCGUGCGUAGGUGGUUGUUUAAGUCUGAUGUGAAAGCCCUGGGCUCAACCUGGGAAUGGCAUUGGAUACUGGAUAGCUAGAGUGCGGUAGAGGGUAGUGGAAUUCCCGGUGUAGCAGUGAAAUGCGUAGAGAUCGGGAGGAACAUCCGUGGCGAAGGCGACUGCCUGGGCCAACACUGACACUGAGGCACGAAAGCGUGGGGAGCAAACAGG